rnacentral:ncRNA from 1 species
CAACCUCAACUCAUAUGGGACUACCCCCUGAAUUUAAGCAUAUUAAUUAGGGGAGGAAAAGAAACUAACAAGGAUUUUCUUAGUAGCGGCGAGCGAAAAGAAAACAGUUCAGCACUAAGUCACUUUGUCUAUAUGGCAAAUGUGAGAUGCAGUGUAUGGAGCGUCAAUAUUCUAGUAUGAGAAAUUAAUGAUUUAAGUCCUUCUUAAAUGAGGCCAUUUACCCAUAGAGGGUGCCAGGCCCGUAUAACGUUAAUGAUUGCUAGAUGAUGUUUCCAAAGAGUCGUGUUGCUUGAUAGUGCAGCACUAAGUGGGUGGUAAACUCCAUCUAAAACUAAAUAUAACCAUGAGACCGAUAGUAAACAAGUACCGUGAGGGAAAGUUGAAAAGAACUCUGAAUAGAGAGUUAAACAGUACGUGAAACUGCUUAGAGGUUAAGCCCGAUGAACCUGAAUAUCCGUUAUGGAAAAUUCAUCAUUAAAAUUGUAAUAUUUAAAUAAUAUUAUUAAGAAUAAUGUGCAUUUUUUCCAUAUAAGGACAUUGUGAUCUAUUAGCAUAUCCCAAAAUUUAUCAUAAAAUAUAACUUAUAGUUUAUUCCAAUUAAAUUGCUUGCAUUUUAACACAGAAUAAAUGUUAUUAAUUUUGAUAAAGUGCUGAUAGAUUUAUAUUAUUACAGAGCGUUAAUUUUUCGGAAUUAUAUAAUGGCAUAAUUAUCAUUGAUUUUUGUGUUUAUUAUAUGCUCCUGUAUGAUUAACAAUGCGAAAGAUUCAGGAUACCUUCGGGACCCGUCUUGAAACACGGACCAAGGAGUCUAACAUAUGUGCAAGUUAUUGGGAUGUAAACCUAAUAGCGUAAUUAACUUGACUAAUAAUGGGAUUAGUUUUUUAGCUAUUUAUAGCUAAUUAACACAAUCCCGGGGCGUUCUAUAUAGUUAUGUAUAAUGUAUAUUUAUAUUAUUUAUGCCUCUAACUGGAACGUACCUUGAGCAUAUAUGCUGUGACCCGAAAGAUGGUGAACUAUACUUGAUCAGGUUGAAGUCAGGGGAAACCCUGAUGGAAGACCGAAACAGUUCUGACGUGCAAAUCGAUUGUCAGAAUUGAGUAUAGGGGCGAAAGACCAAUCGAACCAUCUAGUAGCUGGUUCCUUCCGAAGUUUCCCUCAGGAUAGCUGGUGCAUUUUAAUAUUAUAUAAAAUAAUCUUAUCUGGUAAAGCGAUAAAGCCUUAGGGUCGAAACGAUCUUAACCUAUUCUCAAACUUUAAAUGGGUAAGAACCUUAACUUUCUUGAUAUGAAGUUCAAGGUUAUGAUAUAAUGUGCCCAGUGGGCCACUUUUGGUAAGCAGAACUGGCGCUGUGGGAUGAACCAAACGUAAUGUUACGGUGCCCAAAUUAACAACUCAUGCAGAUACCAUGAAAGGCGUUGGUUGCUUAAAACAGCAGGACGGUGAUCAUGGAAGUCGAAAUCCGCUAAGGAGUGUGUAACAACUCACCUGCCGAAGCAACUAGCCCUUAAAAUGGAUGGCGCUUAAGUUGUAUACCUAUACAUUACCGCUAAAGUAGAUGAUUUAUAUUACUUGUGAUAUAAAUUUUGAAACUUUAGUGAGUAGGAAGGUACAAUGGUAUGCGUAGAAGUGUUUGGCGUAAGCCUGCAUGGAGCUGCCAUUGGUACAGAUCUUGGUGGUAGUAGCAAAUAAUCGAAUGAGACCUUGGAGGACUGAAGUGGAGAAGGGUUUCGUGUGAACAGUGGUUGAUCACGAGUUAGUCGGUCCUAAGUUCAAGGCGAAAGCCGAAAAUUUUCAAGUAAAACAAAAAUGCCUAACUAUAUAAACAAAGCGAAUAUAAUACACUUGAAUAAUUUUGAACGAAAGGGAAUACGGUUCCAAUUCCGUAACCUGUUGAGUAUCCGUUUGUUAUUAAAUAUGGGCCUCGUGCUCAUCCUGGCAACAGGAACGACCAUAAAGAAGCCGUCGAGAGAUAUCGGAAGAGUUUUCUUUUCUGUUUUAUAGCCGUACUACCAUGGAAGUCUUUCGCAGAGAGAUAUGGUAGAUGGGCUAGAAGAGCAUGACAUAUACUGUUGUGUCGAUAUUUUCUCCUCGGACCUUGAAAAUUUAUGGUGGGGACACGCAAACUUCUCAACAGGCCGUACCAAUAUCCGCAGCUGGUCUCCAAGGUGAAGAGUCUCUAGUCGAUAGAAUAAUGUAGGUAAGGGAAGUCGGGCAAAUUAGAUCCGUAACUUCGGGAUAAGGAUUGGCUCUGAAGAUUGAGAUAGUCGGGCUUGAUUGGGAAACAAUAACAUGGUUUAUGUGCUCGUUCUGGGUAAAUAGAGUUUCUAGCAUUUAUGUUAGUUACUUGUUCCCGGAUAGUUUAGUUACGUAGCCAAUUGUGGAACUUUCUUGCUAAAAUUUUUAAGAAUACUAUUUGGGUUAAACCAAUUAGUUCUUAUCAAUUAUAACGAUUAUCAAUUAACAAUCAAUUCAGAACUGGCACGGACUUGGGGAAUCCGACUGUCUAAUUAAAACAAAGCAUUGUGAUGGCCCUAGCGGGUGUUGACACAAUGUGAUUUCUGCCCAGUGCUCUGAAUGUCAAAGUGAAGAAAUUCAAGUAAGCGCGGGUCAACGGCGGGAGUAACUAUGACUCUCUUAAGGUAGCCAAAUGCCUCGUCAUCUAAUUAGUGACGCGCAUGAAUGGAUUAACGAGAUUCCUACUGUCCCUAUCUACUAUCUAGCGAAACCACAGCCAAGGGAACGGGCUUGGAAUAAUUAGCGGGGAAAGAAGACCCUUUUGAGCUUGACUCUAAUCUGGCAGUGUAAGGAGACAUAAGAGGUGUAGAAUAAGUGGGAGAUAUUAGACCUCGGUUUGGUAUCGUCAAUGAAAUACCACUACUCUUAUUGUUUCCUUACCAACUUGAUUAAAUGCAACGUGUAUCAUAUCCUAGCCUGAAUACGGAUAUAUUUAUUAUAUCUUAUGGUACUGGGUCAUGACCCAAUCGUCCAUGUCAAGGUAUCACGAGUUCGGUUCGAACAUGCUCUGUUC